rnacentral:rRNA from 1 species
UACAGAGGGUGCGAGCGUUAAUCGGAGUUACUGGGCGUAAAGGGCGCGUAGGCGGUAUGAUGAGUGUGAUGUGAAAGCCCUGGGCUUAACCUAGGAAGUGCAUCGCAAACGAUCGUACUGGAGUAUAAGAGAGGGUGGCGGAAUUCCGGUGUAGCGGUGAAAUGCGUAGAGAUCGGAAGGAACGUCAAUGGCGAAGGCAG